GAGAUGCUUUGACUGCUCUCUGGUCUGUUUUCAGAGCGGACAGGAGCUGACGCGAGGAAACCGCCGCCGUUUUUAUCCUUGUUGUUGUUAUUCUGAAAUCAGGCUUUUUAUCCGCUGUUGGAGGGAGUUUUAUCCUGUGGCCGUUGCCGUUAUUUAUUGACGCUGAUAAGAAGAGCGUUUUGACCGUCCUCGUACGGGUGUCAUUCUGCAGAAGACGAGAGAAAGACUAAUAAAGGUCAGAAGCGGCGAUGUUUCUCCUGUCAGUCCAUCAUCAAACACGCUUUGAUUUCGGAUCAGAUUCAUGCCUUUCCUUUUCUCACAGAGCUUUAAAUCACAUCAGACUUCAGCUGUGUGUUUUACAGACGCACCACAGUCACAGUCUGAACUAUUCGAGGGAAGUUUGCCUAAAUAUAGUCUGAAAAUGCAGCAGAUUUAGCCGCCUAGACGCCUCCCAGACCCAUGUUUGUUCUCUGUUGUGUUUGUAAGAUGCGACACAAUCAAGUACAUUAAACCCCAGCAUUAAAAUGUUAAAUGGUGUGUUUU